CUGAUCCUGCCAAGGUCUUUCUUUAAUUGCAUGUGGGUAACAAGAGACACAGUAUCCUACCAGAUGACUCAUUUACAGGUAGAUAAUGUCUUGACCACAAACGCUGGAGUUCCUGCCACCUGGGAUUCUUCAGAAACACGUCCCCUUUUUGUGUUCAGCACACACAGAGCUCACCAGCCAUUUGUUCUGGACACUGUAAAUAAAAAACAUCAAGUUACAUAAAAGGAGGAGCUCACCAGUCACUAAAACACAGCCAGGCAGCAUUAGGUGACCCCUCUAGACAGCUCUUCUUAAUGUUUUUCUCAUGGUGGCUCCUCACUCAGAGAAAUUUCCCUCCUAACAAGUGGCUUCACUCUGGCUUCCAAGGCAUCUUUCAGGUGCUCAGCCCGCCUUCUCUGCCUCAUGUGACAGUGAAGUUUCCGAUUACUGUGCAUACCGACUGUACCGGAUUGCAGUUUACAUACACAAAGUGUGACAAAAGUGCAUAUGCUAGUGAAUUACCUUCAGCAGUCUUUGGGGAAAGCAAGCAGAGUCCUCUACUGCUUUGUAGUAAAUGCAUUUACUACAGGAUGCAAGUUUUACACAAACAGGAUCUCACUGUACCUUGCCUUAGAACUUCAAAAGUGGCUGACAAGCAAUCCAAUGAGAACUCCCACAUUUUCUUACAACUGUACUAGUGAAGCUGCAAAACUCCCCUGCUUUGUCAUCAUAGGUCUCACACGUCAGCAAAGUGAAAAGAUUCUCCAUUCUGCUGUUUUGUCCUUAUUUGUGCUCAUCUUCUUCAGCCCUCAUGGCCAAGACAUGUUUUAAGUAACUGAGCUGGCAGAUUUCCUGCCCACCACCCAGCGCUGUUGUCUGGAAUUAAUUUCUAAAGCAGGUUUUAAAUCUUUCAGUUGUUUUGAAGACAAAUUGGUAUGUGAACAGCUGUACUGGGUGAUAAAUUCUUUUAGCAUGGAAGGUAUUUUCCAGGCUUUUUCACAGAAGAAUUUAAUUUACCAAGAAAAUCAGUUGUUCAAAUCACAGAAGUUAAUGUUUAAACAGCUAAAAAAGAAAAAAAAAAAAGAAG
rnacentral:lncRNA from 1 species